CGUGAUGACGAGGCACUACGGUGCUGAAGCAACAAAUGCCCUGCUUCCAGGAAAAGCCUCUAAGCAUCAGGUAACAUCAAAUCGUACCCCAAACCGACACAGGUGGUCAGGUAGAGAAUACCAAGGCGCUUGAGAGAACUCGGGUGAAGGAACUAGGCAAAAUGGUGCCGUAACUUCGGGAGAAGGCACGCUGACACGUAGGUGAAGUGAUUUACUCAUGGAGCUGAAGUCAGUCGAAGAUACCAGCUGGCUGCAACUGUUUAUUAAAAACACAGCACUGUGCAAACACGAAAGUGGACGUAUACGGUGUGACGCCUGCCCGGUGCCGGAAGGUUAAUUGAUGGGGUCAGCGCAAGCGAAGCUCCUGAUCGAAGCCCCGGUAAACGGCGGCCGUAACUAUAACGGUCCUAAGGUAGCGAAAUUCCUUGUCGGGUAAGUUCCGACCUGCACGAAUGGCGUAAUGAUGGCCAGGCUGUCUCCACCCGAGACUCAGUGAAAUUGAACUCGCUGUGAAGAUGCAGUGUACCCGCGGCAAGACGGAAAGACCCCGUGAACCUUUACUAUAGCUUGACACUGAACAUUGAGCCUUGAUGUGUAGGAUAGGUGGGAGGCUUUGAAGUGUGGACGCCAGUCUGCAUGGAGCCAACCUUGAAAUACCACCCUUUAAUGUUUGAUGUUCUAACGUGGACCCGUAAUCCGGGUUGCGGACAGUGUCUGGUGGGUAGUUUGACUGGGGCGGUCUCCUCCUAAAGAGUAACGGAGGAGCACGAAGGUUGGCUAAUCCUGGUCGGACAUCAGGAGGUUAGUGCAAUGGCAUAAGCCAGCUUGACUGCGAGCGUGACGGCGCGAGCAGGUGCGAAAGCAGGUCAUAGUGAUCCGGUGGUUCUGAAUGGAAGGGCCAUCGCUCAACGGAUAAAAGGUACUCCGGGGAUAACAGGCUGAUACCGCCCAAGAGUUCAUAUCGACGGCGGUGUUUGGCACCUCGAUGUCGGCUCAUCACAUCCUGGGGCUGAAGUAGGUCCCAAGGGUAUGGCUGUUCGCCAUUUAAAGUGGUACGCGAGCUGGGUUUAGAACGUCGUGAGACAGUUCGGUCCCUAUCUGCCGUGGGCGCUGGAGAACUGAGGGGGGGCUGCUCCUAGUACGAGAGGACCGGAGUGGACGCAUCACUGGUGUUCGGGUUGUCAUGCCAAUGGCACUGCCCGGUAGCUAAAUGCGGAAGAGAUAAGUGCUGAAAGCAUCUAAGCACGAAACUUGCCCCGAGAUGAGUUCUCCCUGAGACUUAAAGUCUCCUGAAGGAACGUUGAAGACGACGACGUUGAUAGGCCGGGUGUGUAAGCGCAGCGAUGCGUUGAGCUAACCGGUACUAAUGAACCGUGAGGCUUAACCUUACAACGCCGAAGGUGUUU
rnacentral:rRNA from 1 species